rnacentral:rRNA from 1 species
AUGAACGCUGGCGGCGUGCUUAACACAUGCAAGUCGAACGGAGAAUCAAGGUUUACUUUGAUUUUUAGUGGCGGACGGGUGAGUAACGCGUGGGUAACCUGCCCUUAAGUGGGGGACAACAGUUGGAAACGACUGCUAAUACCGCAUAAAGUUGAGAAGUCACCUGGCUUUUCAACCAAAGGAGCAAUCCGCUUAUGGAUGGACCCGCGUCUGAUUAGCUAGUUGGUGGGGUAACGGCCUACCAAGGCUACGAUCAGUAGCCGGCCUGAGAGGGUGAUCGGCCACACUGGGACUGAGACACGGCCCAGACUCCUACGGGAGGCAGCAGUGGGGAAUCUUCCGCAAUGGACGAAAGUCUGACGGAGCAACGCCGCGUGGGGGAUGAAGGCCUUCGGGUUGUAAACCUCUGUCUUUGGGGAAGAAAAAAAUGACGGUACCCAAGGAGGAAGCCCCGGCUAACUACGU